rnacentral:rRNA from 1 species
AGAGUUUGAUCCUGGCUCAGGAUGAACGCUAGCGACAGGCCUAACACAUGCAAGUCGAGGGGCAGCGGAGAGGUAGCAAUACCUUUGCCGGCGACCGGCGCACGGGUGAGUAACACGUAUGCAAUCCACCUGUAACAGGGGGAUAACCCGGAGAAAUCCGGACUAAUACCCCAUAAUAUGGGCUCUCCGCAUGGAGGGUCCAUUAAAGAGAGCAAUUUUGGUUACAGACGAGCAUGCGCUCCAUUAGCCAGUUGGCGGGGUAACGGCCCACCAAAGCGACGAUGGAUAGGGGUUCUGAGAGGAAGGUCCCCCACAUUGGAACUGAGACACGGUCCAAACUCCUACGGGAGGCAGCAGUGAGGAAUAUUGGUCAAUGGUCGGCAGACUGAACCAGCCAAGUCGCGUGAGGGAAGACGGCCCUACGGGUUGUAAACCUCUUUUGUCGGAGAGUAAAGUACGCUACGUGUAGCGUAUUGCAAGUAUCCGAAGAAAAAGCAUCGGCUAACUCCGUGCCAGCAGCCGCGGUAAUACGGAGGAUGCGAGCGUUAUCCGGAUUUAUUGGGUUUAAAGGGUGCGUAGGUGGUGAUUUAAGUCAGCGGUGAAAGUUUGUGGCUCAACCAUAAAAUUGCCGUUGAAACUGGGUUACUUGAGUGUGUUUGAGGUAGGCGGAAUGCGUGGUGUAGCGGUGAAAUGCAUAGAUAUCACGCAGAACUCCGAUUGCGAAGGCAGCUUACUAAACCAUAACUGACACUGAAGCACGAAAGCGUGGGGAUCAAACAGGAUUAGAUACCCUGGUAGUCCACGCAGUAAACGAUGAUCACUAGCUGUUUGCGAUACACUGUAAGCGGCACAGCGAAAGCGUUAAGUGAUCCACCUGGGGAGUACGCCGGCAACGGUGAAACUCAAAGGAAUUGACGGGGGCCC